rnacentral:rRNA from 1 species
AAUCUCAGUUCAGACUGCAGGCUGCAACUCGCCUGCACGAAGUCGGAAUUGCUAGUAAUCGUAGGUCAGCAUACUACGGUGAAUACGUUCCCGGGCCUUGUACACACCGCCCGUCAAACCAUGAGAGUUGGCAACACCCGAAGUCGGUAGUCUAACCGCAAGGAGGGCGCCGCCGAAGGUGGGGUUGAUGAUUAGGGUUAAGUCGUAACAAGGUACC